GCCCCCACUGGGUAAGUUAUCAGCUAUAUUUGGCGUAGUGAGUUUCUGGAUGGAAGAAAGAUGAAGAGAUUGGCAGGUGUGGAGUCAGGGACUCCUUAGUCUUGAAGGAAACAUCCAUGGCUUAGAGAGACCCUGUAAUUUGGGAAAUGUGAAUCUUGUACCCAUCUAUUCAGGACUCCUGAAGACAAAGAUGAGCCUUCUGUUUCCAGUGAUCAUGGGCCCCAGAUGAAGCCAGCCUGGGGGUAAUAAACCAGGUAAUUAUCUCCAUCCUUCCUGUGACAAUAAUGGUGUAGAGGCAGGUAAAAAUUCAUCAGAGGUGGCUUCGCAAGUCCCCAGGGAGACUCACGAUAAAGGGGCUGAUUGUCAGAAUCCGCCUCUGCAGCAUUACACCAGGGCUCUGUAAUGACGGCCCAGGGCCACAUUGUGCCUCCAGAGUAAAGAACUGUGGAGAUGAAAAAGAGACAGACACCUACAUUCCAGCACGGUACCCCACCAAGUCUGCGUGGAUGGCCUGGAUCAGUAAUUAGAAACACAGUGCCGUAAAUAUUGAAAGAAACUUCUGUAAACAUUCUAGAGGACAAUGAAAUUGGAAACAAUAAGCAGAUGGGCUUUUAUUCAAAGCAAAUCCUGCCAGAUGGACCCAGUACUACUUCUUCUUCUUUUUUUUUUGAUAAAAGUACAAAGUUGGUGAUGAAGGGAAAAUGGCACGUUUGAUGUCAUAUGUUUGAACAUUGUUAAAACAUUUGAGUCUUCCAAGAAGGCUGAUUUGCAGAAUUGGCUCAGAAUGCUUGGAAUAGAAGCACAUACCUGACAAAAAAGUUGGAUAAAUGCUGCUAAUUGGGCAAGAGAAAGUGCUGGAAUACUGGGCUGGCGGGACAGCCUCAGGAGCGGUCCUUCAAGGAACCAUGGAGCUUUGCAACCUGAAAGGACCUUAGAGAUCAUCAGUUCCAACCCUCUCAUUUAAGGCUAAGGAAACUCAACCAAAAGGAGACAAUGACUGCACACAACCAGGGCUAGAAGAGCUUACUUGACAAUUCGUUCUACAGAGUGAGGGCUAGGUCUCCUCUCCACCUGGCAGCUCUCGUAUGUGGAAAGGAAAUAAAAUGUGGUCAACUACAAUUCUGAAAGGAUUCUCAAUACACAGAUGAAAUAAUUGGACCCUGAGCAAAUCAAGGCCAAGAUAUAGAUCAUGCGCCCUUAACAUGGUGCGGCCUCAGACACAGCGGAGAUGGUGGUUGAGAAGUGGAAAGUUUUCCUACAGACCAUGCUUCCAAGGUCCCUGCAGUUUUUAAGUCCCUUUCAAUGGUAUUAAUUCAUCAUUGCUGUGAAGCUGAGAAGAUGUCAGAACUUGGGGAGAUUUGAUGACUUGUCCAACUAAGGUCAAACAGCAACAUGUAGUUGAUCGGGGACAGAGCACAUGUCGUCUGAGUGUAGCCAGGCUCCACCUCACCCCAAUUUGGCCUUUGGUAAAAUUCUGAUGAAGGCCUAGCCUUCUCUUCUGCCCUGGGACCCCCUCAGAAGUCUCCGCUCUUUCUCUGCUGGGCCCUUGUCCGACUCAGGUUCCUGCCCUUACGCAGUUCCCCAGAAGCCCAUCGUUCCUAACUUCACAGCCCUGCCCGAGCCCUCCUCCCAUUCCCUCCCCAUUCUUCGCCAGAACCUCUGGGUCUCCUUUCCUGUUUCUGCCCAGCUCUGUGCUCAGUGUUUUGUCACCCUAAAAUGCAUAAAGCUUUCAUAAACUAAUUUCCACCAUUGCCUUCACAGGUGAUAGUUUCACCUUCAGGAAGUCAUUUCUCCUCCCAAGCCUGCUUCCUCAUUAAAAAACAGAACACAGCAAUGAUGUUUGUGACUUACAGUGUGUUGUGACCUACAGUGAAGGAGCGUGCGUGAACACCACCUAGUCAAUGCCUAAUACAGUCUUUUCUUCCAGAAGCAGAAAUGCUAAUCAGGCCUUCAGCAUGAUGGGACUGAGGACUCACACUCCUGUGCUUUGCUUGGGCCCACGUGGACAACGGUUUUGCUGAAUCUUGUUUUUGGAGGUCCUUCUGGAGAGGCGGCCUGAAAGAAACUCUGGCAAUCAAGAGAAUGUUGUUGUAACCCAGCUUGCUGUACGACAUGGUUCACCAAAUUACAUUAGCAUAUAAAACUUGGACUAUUGAUUUCUUCUUGACUUGUUGCGGUUUCUGGGCAAAAGUCCAGUUUAUAGAAGCAGAGAGAACAUACACACACUUGAGUUGGG
ensembl:lncRNA